rnacentral:rRNA from 1 species
CUCGUAGGCGGUUCAACAAGUCGGUCGUGAAAGCCCGGGCUCAACCCCGGGACGCCGGUCGAAACUGUUGUGACUAGGGUCCGGUAGAGGUGAGUGGAAUUCUCGGUGUAGCGGUGGAAUGCGCAGAUAUCGAGAGGAACACCAGUAGCGAAGGCGGCUCACUGGGCCGGUACCGACGCUGAGGAGCGAAAGCAAUGGGGAGCAAACA